rnacentral:rRNA from 1 species
AGCGAAACGGGAAGAGCCCAAACCAACAAGCUUGCUUGUUGGGGUUGUAGGACACUCUAUACGGAGUUACAAAGGACGACAUUAGACGAAUCAUCUGGAAAGAUGAAUCAAAGAAGGUAAUAAUCCUGUAGUCGAAAAUGUUGUCUCUCUUGAGUGGAUCCUGAGUACGACGGAGCACGUGAAAUUCCGUCGGAAUCUGGGA